rnacentral:rRNA from 1 species
GUGGGGAAUUUUGGACAAUGGGGGAAACCCUGAUCCAGCCAUCCCGCGUGUAUGAUGAAGGCCUUCGGGUUGUAAAGUACUUUUGGCAGAGAAGAAAAGGUAUCCCCUAAUACGGGAUACUGCUGACGGUAUCUGCAGAAUAAGCACCGGCUAACUACGUGCCAGCAGCCGCGGUAAUACGUAGGGUGCAAGCGUUAAUCGGAAUUACUGGGCGUAAAGCGUGUGUAGGCGGUUCGGAAAGAAAGAUGUGAAAUCCCAGGGCUCAACCUUGGAACUGCAUUUUUAACUGCCGAGCUAGAGUAUGUCAGAGGGGGGUAGAAUUCCACGUGUAGCAGUGAAAUGCGUAGAUAUGUGGAGGAAUACCGAUGGCGAAGGCAGCCCCCUGGGAUAAUACUGACGCUCAGACACGAAAGCGUGGGGAGCAAACAGGAUUAGAAACCCUAGUAGUCC